rnacentral:rRNA from 1 species
GGCUACAAUGGGUGGGACAAUGGGUAUCGACACCGAAAGGUGAAGGCAAUCUCCUAAACCCAUCCGUAGUUCGGAUUGUGGGCUGCAACUCGCCCACAUGAAGCUGGAAUCUGUAGUAAUCGUGUCUCAAAAUGGCACGGUGAAUAUGUCCCUGCUCCUU